AACGAACGCUGGCGGCAUGCCUAACACAUGCAAGUCGAACGAGACCUUCGGGUCUAGUGGCGCACGGGUGCGUAACGCGUGGGAAUCUGCCCUUGGGUUCGGAAUAACAGUUAGAAAUGACUGCUAAUACCGGAUGAUGUCUUCGGACCAAAGAUUUAUCGCCCAGGGAUGAGCCCGCGUAGGAUUAGCUUGUUGGUGGGGUAAAGGCCUACCAAGGCGACGAUCCUUAGCUGGUCUGAGAGGAUGAUCAGCCACACUGGGACUGCGACACGGCCCAGACUCCUACGGGAGGCAGCAGUGGGGAAUAUUGGACAAUGGGCGAAAGCCUGAUCCAGCAAUGCCGCGUGAGUGAUGAAGGCCUUAGGGUUGUAAAGCUCUUUUACCCGGGAUGAUAAUGACAGUACCGGGAGAAUAAGCCCCGGCUAACUCCGUG
rnacentral:rRNA from 1 species